rnacentral:rRNA from 1 species
UACGAAGGGGGCUAGCGUUGUUCGGAAUUACUGGGCGUAAAGCGUGCGCAGGCGGCUUCUCAAGUCAGGGGGUGAAAGCCCCAAGCUUAACUUGGGAAGUGCUUUUGAUACUGCAGAGCUUGAAUGUGGGAGAGGAUCGUGGGAAUUCCAGGUGUAGUGGUGAAAUACGUAGAUAUCUGGAGGAACACCGGUGGCGAAGGCGGCGAUCUGGCCCAACAUUGACACUGAGACCCGAAAGCGUGGGGAUCAAACAGG